CAAUAGCGUAUAUUAAAGUUGUUGCGGUUAAAAAGCUCGUAGUUGGAUUUCUGCCGAGGACGACCGGUCCGCCCUCUGGGUGAGUAUCUGGCUUGGCCUGGGCAUCUUCUUGGAGAACGUAGCUGCACUUGACUGUGUGGUGCGGUAUCCAGGACUUUUACUUUGAGGAAAUUAGAGUGUUUCUAAGCAGGCAUGCGCCUUGAAUACAUUAGCAUGGAAUAAUAAGAAUAGGACCUCCGGUUCUAUUUUUGUUUGGUUUCUUAGAGCUGAGGUAAUGAUUAAUAGGGAUAGUUGGGGGUCGAUUCGUAUUUAACUGUCAGAGGUGAAAUU
rnacentral:rRNA from 1 species